UAUUGCUUCUACACCAAAAAGAUUUUCUUUCCUCUAUUCUUGUCAGUUCAUAAAAUCUCCAUCCCAGCCUGAGACUAAUCAAACCAUAACAAACAUUUUUGUUCCAUAAUGAUGAACCAUCUAAUUUUAGCCAGAAAGCCCCUCAAAUUGAGUACAGUUGGACAAAAAAAUUCCAUUAAGAAAGAUCAAGUCUGGUGAUCACAGAGCAAAGAGUUGAGCAUAAAAUUAUUAAUUUGUUGUCUGUAAACCCAUUGAAGACAAUUUUAACAAAAAAGAAGAUCCCUAAUUUAUCAACAAAGGGGUGAAUUCAAUAAUAAGAACCAGAUAUUAUUCUAACCUCUCCAUUCCAG
rnacentral:misc_RNA from 1 species